UCGGGUAUCCCGGUGGCGGCGGCGCCGACGCCGCGGCGUCUCGGCCCCGAACUCAUACAGACUAACACACACACUCUUACCCAGCCCAAUCGAAUCAUUGCAAUUCUCGUCGCACCAUAAACCAUUCGGCCUUUUGGGCCUGUCAACGAACGCCGCUUUUUGCCGGCGUCUCCACCAAGUAUCUUUUACCUGUGGUGAUAAGUCAGUGAAUAAUCCCCUCCGGUAAAAUAUAUUUUGUAAACGUAGAGGAAAUUGGGUAAUUGAAAUUGUCUUAGUGAUUAUGUAGUGAGUUAGUGAAUAUUUAGCCGGUCACAUUUACAUCGAGGAAAGGAGGUGCCGUGCAGAAAGCUCGGCCGUGUCACGUGCAGGUACACUCCCAAGAACAAGGUCUUGGCGAUAACCUCGAGGGCUUUCGGGUCUGUACCUACCCCCCACCUACUCUCCUCCGUAAUAUUUCUUGCCCUAUUUUUAUAUUAAAACGAGGAAAUAUAUUGCCUAAUAAUUUCGUUAGAUUUAUAACGUUGGGAAAAGGCACGUCAAAAGCGACUAUAGCAUAACUUUAAAACGGCUUCCGACCGAGGUAGCUUGACAGAUAUAAUGGAAGAUCAGGCGUGAAUGAUAAAUUAACCUAUUUUGGUGGAUCAACAAAUCCGCAAAAGGGGUUUACUUUAUUGACAAAGAUACAACUGAAGUGGAGAUCGUCAUUAAUUUAUUCCAUAUUAAUUUGAAAAUAAUUAAUAAAUUAUUACAAAAAUUAAUACAAGCUGUAUGUUAUAUUUUAUACAUUUAUAUUUAAUAACUCACUUUUGUAUAUAAUUUAGCUCAUAAUAAAGCUCUACAGUACGUUUCUUUUA